UCGCCUGUUUAUCAAAAACAUUUCCUCAUGUAAAUUAGCAUAUGAGGUAAGUCCUGCCCGGUGCCCUAAGGGGUAAACGGCCGCGGUAACCUGACCGUGCUAAGGUAGCGUGAUUAACUGCCCUUUAAUUGGGGGCCUGACGAAUGGGUUUUCGAGGGUCUGACUGUCUCCUUUUGAGUAAUAGAAAUUAACUUUUAGGUGAGAAUACCUGACUUUAUAUGCAAGACAAAAAGACCCCGUAGAGUUUUGUUCAACCCGACAAAAGAUUGGGCAAAACUAAUUUUAUAUACUUGUUCUUUUAUGCGUAAAAUCUUAACUGGGGCGGUUAAGGAAAAUCUAAGCUUCCUUUUCAUAGUAACCCUAGAACACUAUUCUUUUAAAUGACAGAUCCCAUCUAUCGUUCAAAGGAUUAACUACCUCGGGGGUAACAGACUAAUUUUUCUUAAGAGUUCACAUUGACAGAAAAGUUUGGCACAUCGAUGUUGGCUUAGGGGAUCCCAAGGGUCAGUAGAAGCCCUUAUGUGUAGGUUUGUUCACCCUUUAAACCCCUACGUGAUCUGAGUUCAGACCGGA
rnacentral:rRNA from 1 species